AGUAGGUCAGUGAUACAUGGUGCAAAACAGCCUGGGAUAAUAUUGCCAGCUGCCAGACCAGACUAGGGUGGCUCAAGGGGUUGCCAUAGUUUCUAAAUCUUUUGAAGGAAAAACUGAUCGCACAGAAGAGUGGUAUGGAACCCAGUACAAACAAGAAGCUAUACCGGAUGAAGUCAUCAAGAAAUGGCAAAAUGCUGACCUGAAUGGGAAAUUUAAACUUCCUACAAAGAAUGAAUUUAUUCCUACGAAUUUUGAGAUUUUACCGUUAGAAAAAGAGGCGACACCAUACCCUGCUCUUAUUAAGGAUACAGCUAUGAGCAAACUUUGGUUCAAACAAGAUGAUAAGUUUUUUUUGCCGAAGGCUUGUCUCAACUUUGAAUUUUUCAGCUUUGAUAAAAUUGUUGGCUUUUGGCUGGGUGCGAUAGCUCACACCUGUAAUCCUAACAUUUUGGGAAGCCGAGGCAGGAAGAUCGCUUGAGCCUAGGAGUUCGAGACCAGCCUGGACAACACAGUGAGACCUUGACUCAACUUUAAAAAACAAAAUGUUGACUUUGUUAUCAGUACAUUAGUUAUAUUUACUGUGCUACAAGUAGAGUGAAACUUUUAAUUUGCUGCCAAACAAGCCAAGCAGGCACCUGCCUCAGGCCUUUAGCAGUAGCUAUUUCUUCAGCCUGGGAAGUUCUCCACUCCACCCCUUAGAUAUCCCCAGGGCUCACUCCCUUGCCUCCUUCAGGUCUGAGUCCAGAU
rnacentral:lncRNA from 10 species